UCGGUCCCGCACGGAGCCGUAGGGAGCAGCGCGCCGGGCACUGGGGAGGCGGCGCCGGGGCAGCCGUCCCAGCGCCGGGCGCCCUGCACCUCGCCGCCUCGGGCCGGCCCGCUCUCUCCUGCCUCCGCGGCCCCAGAUUCUGCCGGAAUAGCCACACUGCCUCAAAGGUGGAUUUCUUCCAAAGGCACCUCAAGCGCUGGUCCAGCUGCCUCUUACCCCAGCCCCGAGCGGCCAGGAGAGCAACCCCCCUCCCGGAGGUACUCCUGCUGGGUGGCAUCAGGACACCAGGAAGACAGGGGUCCAGCAUGGCGGGGUCCAUGCGCUGGCAGACACGCCGACCACCCUACUCAGGGUGCCCAGAGAACUGGGAACAAGAAGAAGCUUUCUGGGACUUCCUUGGUGGCGCAGUGGUUAAGAAUCCACCUGUCAAGGCAGGGGACACGGGUUCGAGCCCUGGUCCAGGAAGAUCCAGCGUGCUGCGGGAGCAACUAAGCCCGUGUGCCACAACUACUGAGCCUGCACUCUAGAGCCCGCGAGCCACAACUACUGAGCCCGCGUGCCACAACUACUGAAGACCACACACCUAGAGCCUGUGCUCCACAACAAGAGAAGCCACGGCAAUGAGAAGCCCGUGCACCACAAUGAAGAGUAGCCCCCACUCGCCACAACUAGAGAAAGCCCGCGUGCAGCAACAAAGACCCAACGCAGCCAAAAAUAAAUUAAUUAAUUAAAUUAAAAACAAAAAGGAGAAGAAGAAGCUGUCUUAACUUGGUGAAGGUGGUCUUCAAAUAACCUAGAGCAGGUUUCUCAUGUCACGGAGUUUGGAAGCAUCCUUUUUGCCAUCAGGUACAACACAAGGAUACCUCCCCCUCCACCACCACGACUGCUCCGUGGAGCUUAAGGGUCCUGACACCUCAAUCAGACACAAACGAGAAAUAAGCAUCUAAGAACUGAAAGGAAGGAAUUGACCUAUUGUUAUUUGUAAGAAUAAAGAUAGAAUAAUCACAUAAAAAGAAAAACAAGAAAGAUCAUCUAUAUAACGGUCACCCAUAUAACAGUCCUCAGUAACUAAGACAAACAACAACAGCAACAACAAAAUAAUCAGUUAAGCGAGUUCAGCAAGAUUCCAGAUUAGAGAUCCUCUUACAGAAAUCCUAGCAUGCCUCUGCACUGACCGCAGUCAAUUAGAAAAAGUAAUAAAAAAUAAGGUGCAUUCACAUUAGAAGCACCGUCUCCCAGGUACCUAGGAAUUCGUCUAACAAAGAAUUCACAAGGCUUUUCAGAGAAAUGCUUGAUCUCUCUUAAAAAGCAUGAAACAGGAUGGCUAGAAGUGAGAUGGACAGGACGACUCAGCAUUGCAGAGACGGCCGUUCUCCGUUUCAUCUUUACAGUCCAUUCCAGUCCAAUCAAAAUCUCAUCAUUGUGUUCGGAGGAUCUCAUUAAUUUAUUCUAACAUGGACGUGGCUGAAAAUAGUUAAGAAAUUUUUGAAAAGAAGAGCCAGGCUACUAGACCUCUAGACCUCUACAGCCAGGCUACUAGACCACCAGACCUCUACAGAACUACAGGAAUAAAGCAAAUGAAACAGCACGGUGUGAGCGUGGCGUGGAGAACAGAGCUUGGGAAGAGGCCUAGGCGACCACGGGUGUCCGCUCUGGGGAAGGGACAGACAGGGGCGUGAGUGCAUUAGGAAGACAGACUCACCGUGUGGAAAAACAGCCCCUUGCACACGUGCUCUUCGGCCAGAUGAAGUCCUGGGUGUGAAUGAUAAAACCACAGCAGUUUUAUUAAUGGAAGGAAAAGUGGGGGUGAUAUCUUUGUCAUUCGUGGGGCAGUAACGAAUUCUCCCGUUAGACCUACAUCUUUCCCUGUAGCUGGAAGUUAAGGGAUUCGGCUCCAUUGAAAUUAAAGAUUUAAACAGAUAUAAAAAUACAAAACAGAUAAAGAGAUCUGUCCAGUGAAGAACACAGUGGGGAAAGUUCACAGCAUGAAGAAGUUACAACGAAAACAGCUGAGUGAUUAAUUCAGAAUGUAAUCUGAGUUAGCACACGCUACCGCUGAAAGCACUCGGGGAGGGGGUCACUUUAGGGGCCAACACAUGCGUGGGGAUUUCUCAGACUCAACAGUCAUCAGACGAAUGCAAAUUUUUCAAAAGAUUUUCCGCCUCACACCCAACCAAUUUGCAGAAAUUUGAAAGUCAAAUAAUGCCCGGUGUGGGUGAGAAUGUCGGGGGGACCCCUGUCCUGUGAGGAGAGGGGUGGACGGGUUGGGUGUCCAGAGUGGAGUCAGGCAGAGCUUAGUGAAACUACUCCAUCAUCCGUCGCCCACUCCAGGGGCCUGCUCCCGGGUCCGCGCAGGGUGCCAUGGGGUGCCCGUCUCAGGGGGACAGUGGGUGUCUGCCGGGGGGGUGGGACCCAGGGAGGAAAAGCCACGGAAGGGCCAGAGACAACGGUCUGGGGGUUGAUGCUGGCAGGUGGAUAAAUCUUUAAAACCAUGCUGACGACUGAAAAGUACAUGAAGCCGUGUGAAACCGACAACACAGGAACAAGUUAAUUACACAACACACACGACACAUACGCUCGUGUAUACACCACGUGCAGCACAGAGCCUUGGAAACGGCCCCCUCCUGCCCCCAUACCAGGGGCUGGAAACUGGGGCUGUCGAGGCAGAGAUGCCCCCUCUGGGCUCACGGCGUUAGCAGCAGGUGAGGUGCCAAAGGGACCAGCUGGCCCCAGUGCAUCUCAGCAGGUGCCAGCUUGGUCACAGACCAUGAGAAGACCUUCCCUCAGCCCCCCAGCCACGUUCCCCGGCUCCAGGCCUGACUCCCCUGGGGCACAGAGCCCUGGGUCCUGGCUUCUGACCUGUCCAGGCUUUGAGCUGGGGGAGAGACGAGGGGCAGGACACUUGGACCGUGAGAUCCACCCCCACUCCCGAACGCUGCUAACUGGGGCUCCAGCUGGCCCUGAGGGGUCAGUUCCAGCAGGUGUAGAGGGAUCUGAGACCCUCCCUGUUACUGGAUGUCCAUCCUCGCCUGCCUCACCCCUCGGUCUAUCUCUCAGCCAGUUUCCUACACUUUCUAGCUUUUCUACAUUUUAUAGAUGAGGAAGCAGAGUCACAGAGCGACCAGAUAGAUGACCUUCCUGCGGGGACAGAGCUGAUGACAGCAGCCUCGGGUCCAGAGCUGUUGGACCCGAGGCUGCUGACCAGCCCCAUACCUGGGCUUAGCUGUUCUCAGCCACCUCGGCAGGUAAGGAAAGUGGGGUCAACGGGGCCAGGAAGGAGCCCCCAGGGUCUGGAAGCAGUGGGUGGCACGGGGGCCAGGGCCACGAGUGGAAGUCGCCAGGAGCUUGGUUAGGCGUCAGGGGUGGGAGGACUCUCACCAACUCUGGGCUCUGCAGGCCAUGGCCGAGGCUCAGAGGAGUCCCGUCGCAGAGGGGGUCCUGGGCGGGACGGGGUCUCCCUGCUCCGCUGUGGGCCUGGAUACCUCCACACUCGGCCUCCCCACCCCCAGGAAGAGGUCCUUGGACUUGGUCUUGCUGAGAGCCAGAGCCGCCAGGGCCUGGUCACUGAGUCCUCCCUCAGGCUCAGGCACCCCACGCAGGGGCAUCAGGUCCCCCCAAAAGCCCGAAGCAUUACCUCAGCCCCUGAUGGCUGCAGGCGCCCAACCAGGCUGCCCGGGCUAGAGUCCAAGGCCUCUGGGACGAAGCAUGGCUGAGGCCCCAGGCACAGCCAGCGGCCACCCCUACAGGUGUCCAGCAGUAACCCCACCCCAGGCUAUUAAUGGUGUGAUUUCCAAUCUCUUCCUGUGCUUUCCCCUCCUGGGCAUCACCGAAGAGCUCAAAGCACACUUUGGCCCUUGAAAUGUGUUCUUUGCUGGGGGACACGAACAACACUUGCAGCUCAGCAGCGGGCAGAGAAUCCCGCUCCCUUGCCUUGACCCAGCUGUGCUUCCCGAGACGGAUCAGCUCCCCUGGCCGCCCUGCCAGCACCCCAGGCAGGGGUCUGCACGGGGCCAGCCUGUGCCCGGAGGCAAGGAACCUCGUCUGGGGACCAGCGCUGCAAGGGACCAGGUCUUCAUCCAACCCCUUGGUCCUGUCCAGGAAAUAGCCUCUGUCUUCCAGCUAAAGGUUUGGGGCCGAAGGUUUCCUUACA